GUGGGGAAUUUUGGACAAUGGGCGCAAGCCUGAUCCAGCAAUGCCGCGUGCAGGAAGAAGGCCUUCGGGUUGUAAACUGCUUUUGUACGGAACGAAAAGGCUCUGGCUAAUACCUGGAGCUCAUGACGGUACCGUAAGAAUAAGCACCGGCUAACUACGUGCCAGCAGCCGCGGUAAUACGUAGGGUGCGAGCGUUAAUCGGAAUUACUGGGCGUAAAGCGUGCGCAGGCGGUGCUGUAAGACAGGCGUGAAAUCCCCGGGCUCAACCUGGGAAUUGCGAUUGUGACUGCAGCGCUGGAGUGCGGCAGAGGGGGAUGGAAGUCCGCGUGUAGCAGUGAAAUGCGUAGAUAUGCGGAGGAACACCGAUGGCGAAGGCAAUCCCCUGGGCCUGCACUGACGCUCAUGCACGAAAGCGUGGGGAGCAAACAGGAUUAGAAACCCUGGUAGUCC
rnacentral:rRNA from 1 species